GGACAGGUGCGCGAGUGGCUGAAGCGGGCUCCCUGCUAAGGAGUUAGGCCCCCAUAAGGGCCUCGAGGGUUCGAAUCCCUCCCUGUCCGCCA
rnacentral:tRNA from 4 species